AGGCUGUUUGCAAGAGAUGUAUUCAUGUGCUUUAUGAGACCCAAAGAAACUAAGUUCAUGAUGCUCCUUCUAGGGGUCUCCGGCCAGGUCUGCACCAAGAACAGCUGAUGCUAUCAAAGCAUUACAAAGCAAUAUAAUGCUACAGACUAUAGAUGUUGCAGAGCUUAUUGAAAGACUCACGGACCUGACAAUGCUUUGAUUUCACGGAAACAGAACUUCAACUGCUUUGUGACAUUGAUUUCCCAGAGUCAGGGCAAGGACAGACAGAUUAACAGCAUUGUUAAUACUACUAUAAAUUAGAGUAAUAAUACUGUUUGAGAUGGUAACUAGAUGCUCCUGGGAAUAGCACUGAAGUAAUCAACCACAAGGCACGGGUUCCAAGGAAGCACUGAAAUGCCUUCCCAUUUCUCCCAAAAGACAAGAAAGAGAAGAGCUGAAUUAGCAGUUAAUAACAUAUAAUGAGGUAGAAGUUUGAAGUUUAUGAUGAUUCAUAAUUAUUGUAAGAAACCAGUCUGUCGAUUCAUGAAUUCAAGACAAACUUGUUUUCCUGCACACUGACUAUUGCCAUUUGCUGUAGUUGUGGUGUUUUACGGUCUUUCAACAGGGUUCAAUUUUUGGAGAUUAUUUUUUUUCCUUACUACAAUAAAUAGUAAGUAAGCAAAGGGUUUGCCUCCUCUGAAAAGAAAAAAGAAAAAGAGGAGUCCAGUCAGAUUUUCAAAGACAUUUUUGGUAACAGCCCUUCCCUUACACAGAUUUGUUGAUCCCUGUAGCUGACAAGGUAGGUUAAAGCAAGUUCUUAUAAAACCACUGUCCUAAGAAAAAUGAUAGAUUAUCUGCCUCUCUGCAGAUGGGAGACAUUCUCUUUUUAUGACUUCUGAGAGCAUCAGGAGUUCACCAAAGUCAACCUCUUGUAGCCUUGACAGUCUUGAAAAUAAAGUGAAUGAAAGGGUAGGAAGGAGAUGCAGGAAGGAGACGGAGGUAAAGGACCUGAGGGGAGGGCAGGGAAGGGAGAAGGGAGAGGGCUGCUGCUUCUCAGAGCAGCUCCUGGGUGCAGGGCUGAAGCAAACACCCCAGCAGCAGAACCGAUGAGUGUGCCUGAGAAGAUGACGUUUGGGAAUGCACUGAACAACAACAACAAAAAAGUAAUUUAGCAGUUUACUCGCCUCCACAGUUAGCAACCCCUUGCCCCUCAGGUGAAAACAACACUUUUCUUCCUAUUUUUAUAGGUUAGUCAUAUUAGGAUAAUGUCAGGAGAUCUGUCUUUAUGGUGUUAAACACAUAAGUGACAGUUCCUGUACCAAAUAUACACUUGCCUAUUUAUAAAAAGGGAAUAUUUCAUUAUCCCCAGUUUACAAAGUAGGAGCUGAGGCAUGCCGAGAGGUAGCUUUAUUAAAGGUCACACAGACAUCAUGUCACAAAGCCAGGAGCAAAAGUCAGAUCUUUAGGAUCAUAAACCUGGUCCUUAACCACAAAGAUAACUUUCCUCCUUCGUUUUUACUGUUUGAAAUAGGCUGAAAAACCCUUCCGAAUGUGGAUUUGUUUAAUGGCAUUACAAGAUUAACACUAGUCAUCUGGCCGGAAUUUUCACUAGGAAGUCAUAUUACUAUGUAUUUAUUUAAUACAAGAUAACCUUUCAUUUUCCUGCCGGCAAAUAUUUUAUUUCAGAAAUACUAAGCUGACUAAACUUACAACUUGCAAGAGUGAUAUGAAAUCUGAAGUUAAACAGCAGACUGUUUGUUAUAUUUAUAACUGAUAGGAAAAGGGAUUUCAGUUCAUAAUUAAAAAUGAAAAAAUCAACAACUUGUCAGCAUGAAAGUGAAGGAAGUCUGCACUAGAAAAUACAUAGCAUAGCUAAAGAAUUUAUGCACCUACUUACUUUCUUGCACACCCUUGUGAUUAACCUAUAUGCUAUCAGCUGGGCUUCCGAGCAAGUAUUUCCUCAGCUCUGCAUUGCAAAGAGCAAGGCAGGUCUUGAAAAGAGUUGAGAGCUGCUUCAAUUUUCUGGGCUUUUCUUCUUGCUUCUAGAACUGGCAGGCUCUGGAUUGUUGUGAAGAGGGUGUUUCUCAUUCUGCCAGGCCCUUUCCUAAAGCCUGUGCCAAUUUGACCUCACAGUGGGGUAUACUGGUCUUCUAAGGCUGAAUGAGCUGAGAAUUUGGUUUGGGGGUAAGAAUGUGGUUUUGAUUACUAUCUUUAAGCAGAUUUGGCACCUUCAUCUAACAUGGGGAAGUAGAAAUGAAAAUCAAACCUGGAAUCACCUGUAUGGCAAUGCAAAGCACUCCCACUUGGCUGGCAAGACAUAAAAUCACAGGACACAUCUUGAAUGUGGGCACAAGUCCAUUAAAGCUGGUAUUACCCUAGCUCAGGAGCUUCUUUUCCAGAGCACACUGGUUCAUUCUUUUCUCAGUUGGGGUUCGGACACUUUCUAAAAACACUUAAGUUCUUCAAGUGUUUCUCUGAGGUAACACUGGAAGUUAUAGG